rnacentral:rRNA from 1 species
UACGGAGGGUGCGAGCGUUGUCCGGAAUCAUUGGGCGUAAAGGGCACGUAGGUGGCCCGGUCAGUUCGUGGUGAAAGCGCGGGGCUCAACCCUGCGUCGGCCAUGAAUACUGCCGCGGCUGGAGCACUGUAGAGGCAGGCGGAAUUCCGGGUGUAGCGGUGGAAUGCGUAGAGAUCCGGAAGAACACCGGUGGCGAAGGCGGCAUCCUGGACCGGCAUUGACGCUGAGGCGCGAAAGCCAGGGGAGCAAACGGG